UUUAUCUCUUUUUUAUUUAUAUUUGUUUUUCCAUUCUUUAUUAUAUAAUAAAGAAUGGAAAAACAAAUAUAAAUAAAAAAAUAUAAAAUAAAAUAAUAAUAUAAUUUAUUCCAUUUUUUUAGUUUCUUUUUAGACAACCAGAGCAUGUCCAUGCCAAUACUUCUGGGCUCUUUUUGUUACCACGAAUCUUUGAAAACAAAGAUUUAGUUGAAUGUAUUUCAUUUGAAAAAAAAAAAAAUACUUGUUAUUUAAACAUGAUCAAACAUAAAUAAAAAAAGACUUUUAAAUUCCUAAGAUCAAAAUGUCAUUUUUUUUAUUACUCCUUCGUUUUUCUAGUAAAGUAUCUAAAAAAAGAAACUGUGGAUUCUUACACAAUCAAUUUUUUGUUAUGGAUUAAGUAGUUUUGUCGAGAUGUAGAUGUAUCUGUCAAAACAAAACAUCUUCAGCUUCUGCAAAAACAAAAAAAUGAAAUUAGCUCUCUUUUCUUAAUUUCAUUUGGAGGUCCCCUUACAAAACAUGUCAACAUUCUAAUUAUUUCCUCCUAUUUAUAGUAUUCUUAAUUCAUUUUUAUUACUAAUUAUUUUAUCUUAUUUUUAAUUAAUUACGCUUAUGAGCCUAGUUCUUCAUUAUGACUGAUUCCCUUGUUCGACAAAAGGUGCAUUUAUAUGCAAUAAUUGCAUUGUAGCGGGUAUAGUUUAGUGGUAAAAGUGCGAUUCGUUCUAUAGAUCCCGUAAUAGUUAAGGGAUCCCGAGCAAAAACUUUAUUUCUUGCUUAAAGGAGUUUAGUUUACUCCUUUAUUCCUCUCAACAAAUGAUUCGGAGGAAUAUUUAAUAUACAUUAUCGUAAUUUGUAUCCAAAAAAAUCAAUUCUAAAUUGACAAAUUUAAUUUACAAAUUAUGAAACAUAACUUUUUGGAAUUGGAUCAAUAAUCCCAAUUUUUUGAGUAUGAGUAAAGGAUCCAUGGAGAAAGAUAUAGAAAGUUGAUUUCUAAUCGUAACUAAAUCUUCCAUUUUUUUAUUUGUUUUGGAUAGGAGAGAUUGAAGCAAAAUAGCUAUUAAACGAUUACUUUAGUUUACUAGAGACAUCAACAUUUUUUUAGCUCGAUGGAAAUUUUAUUCUUUUCCUAAAGAUUCUCUUAAAUAGAAAUAGAGAACGAAGUAACUAGAAAAAACAAAAGAUUGUUAGAAUACUCCUCUUCUAUAGGGAUCAUCUAAAAAGCAAGGUGUUUUAAAUGUAUUCAUACAGAAAGGCUGACAUAGAUGGUAUGGGUCCAUUUUUUUUUGUUGAUGUCUUCCAUCUCUUAAUUUAUUCCGUA